rnacentral:rRNA from 1 species
AGAGUUUGAUCAUGGCUCAGGAUGAACGCUGGCGGCGUGCUUAACACAUGCAAGUCGAACGAAGCGCCCCGGAACAAUUCUUCGGAAGAGGGAAAGGGCGACUUAGUGGCGGACGGGUGAGUAACGCGUGGGCAACCUGCCCUGCACAGGGGGAUAACAGUUGGAAACGACCGCUAAUACCGCAUAAGCCGACGGGGCCGCAUGGCCCAGCCGGAAGAGAUUUAUCGGUGCAGGAUGGACCCGCGUCUGAUUAGCCAGUUGGCAGGGUAACGGCCUACCAAAGCGACGAUCAGUAGCCGGCCUGAGAGGGUGAACGGCCACAUUGGGACUGAGACACGGCCCAAACUCCUACGGGAGGCAGCAGUGGGGAAUAUUGCACAAUGGGGGGAACCCUGAUGCAGCGACGCCGCGUGGGUGAAGAAGUAUUUCGGUAUGUAAAGCCCUAUCAGCAGGGAAGAAAAUGACGGUACCUGACUAAGAAGCCCCGGCUAACUACGUGCCAGCAGCCGCGGUAAUACGUAGGGGGCAAGCGUUAUCCGGAUUUACUGGGUGUAAAGGGAGCGUAGACGGCGCGGCAAGUCAGAAGUGAAAGCUCGGGGCCCAACCCCGGAACUGCUUUUGAAACUGCCGGGCUGGAGUACUGGAGAGGUAAGCGGAAUUCCUGGUGUAGCGGUGAAAUGCGUAGAUAUCAGGAGGAACACCAGUGGCGAAGGCGGCUUACUGGACAGUAACUGACGUUGAGGCUCGAAAGCGUGGGGAGCAAACAGGAUUAGAUACCCUGGUAGUCCACGCCGUAAACG